rnacentral:tRNA from 1 species
GCCUCCAUAGCUCAAUUGGCAGAGCACAUUACUUGUAAUAAUGUGGUUAUGAGUUCGAGUCUCAUUGGGGGCU